UACGUAGGGGCCUAGCGUUGUCCGGAAUUAUUGGGCGUAAAGAGCUCGUAGGCGGUUCGGCAAGUCGGAUGUGAAAUCUCCACGCUCAACGUGGAGGGGCCAUUCGAAACUGCCGUGACUCGAGUCCGGUAGGGGAGUGUGGAAUUCCCGGUGUAGCGGUGAAAUGCGCAGAUAUCAGGAGGAACACCAGCGGCGAAGGCGGCGCUCUGGGCCGGUACUGACACUGAGGAGCGAAAGCGUGGGUAGCAAACAGG
rnacentral:rRNA from 1 species